GAUGAACGCUGGCGGCGUGCCUAAUACAUGCAAGUCGAGCGAACAGACGAGGAGCUUGCUCCUUCGACGUUAGCGGCGGACGGGUGAGUAACACGUAGGUAACCUACCUAUAAGACUGGGAUAACUUCGGGAAACCGGAGCUAAUACCGGAUAAUAUUUCGAACCGCAUGGUUCGAUAGUGAAAGAUGGCUUUUCUAUCACUUAUAGAUGGACCUGCGCCGUAUUAGCUAGUUGGUAAGGUAACGGCUUACCAAGGCAACGAUACGUAGCCGACCUGAGAGGGUGAUCGGCCACACUGGAACUGAGACACGGUCCAGACUCCUACGGGAGGCAGCAGUAGGGAAUCUUCCGCAAUGGGCGAAAGCCUGACGGAGCAACGCCGCGUGAGUGAUGAAGGUCUUCGGAUCGUAAAACUCUGUUAUUAGGGAAGAACAAACGUGUAAGUAACUGUGCACGUCUUGACGGUACCUAAUCAGAAAGCCACGGCUAACUACGUG
rnacentral:rRNA from 1 species